AUCGAACAAUCGUUGCCACUGUCGGCGACCAGCUGCGCGGCGCCGAGCGUGGUUAGGUCCCCGUAACCAAGAUAUCGUCCGCGAGAGUUGCUACCGUCCGAAAAGUAACACAGAGCAGGAUGAAUCUCGUUGCGAGGCAGUGUUUAAGGAUUUUAGGGAGCGACGUUGGGAGGCAGAAGACACCGCACAGUCUUCGAGCUUCCAGCUUUAAAAGCGCUCUAUGCCUGGAAAACUUGCAUCCGGGUAGCACGUUGAAGCUGCACACUCCAACUUUCGUGCCGGAUCCUAAAGCGAAAUUCAGUGGUUUCAUACCCCUGGACAAGGUGCAAAUAACAUACAGCGGUAGCAGCGGGCCGGGAGGGCAAAACGUGAACUGUGUAAAUACCAAGGUGGACUUGAGGUUCCAGGUGGCCAGUGCUACGUGGCUGUCGGAGGAGAUUCGAACCAAGUUAGCGGAACAACACAAAACCAAGAUAAACAAAGACGGUUACUUAAUAAUCAAGUCGGAUUUGACGAGAUCCCAGCACUUAAAUUUGGCGGACGCUCUGGAAAAGCUGAGAGCGAUGAUAAGAGCUACUUUGGUGUUGCCGCCGCAACCGUCGCCAGAGUCGGAAGAGAAGAGGCGGAAGAGUCUGCUGAGAGCCGCUAGGGAGAGGCUGCACGAGAAGCGAGCCCAUUCCCAACUUAAACAAAGCAGACGAGGCACUGUUGAGUUCUAAACUCAAUUUAGUUUAAUUGAUUAUUUAAGUCACCGGUCCAAGUACUGUAUAGUUUGCACGAGAGAAAAGGACUUGGAAUUAGAAUGAUCGUUGAAAGACAAAUCGAAAUUGACCAAUUCAUGUUGAAAAUGUAGGGAU